rnacentral:lncRNA from 1 species
UUACAAGCAACAAUUACAUAUGAAGUCAAAAAGUUAAGGGGUGCCAUGGCCCCUGCAGGCCCUUGAGUAGCUCCGUCCCUGUUUGGAGUUUAAUGAUUUGCAAAUGGUAUGGAAAUUGACUACGGAUCUUGGCCUUUGGUGGUACAUACUUUCUACACAAAUUCAGUGUUUCCUUUUGUAAAUUACUUUGUAGCCUUAAAUCUGAAUUUUUAGGAGGAAUGUGAUAUUCUUUAUAUGUGUUGCUGUGAGCACUAAGCAGUCUUUCUUAUAUUCUCUAUGUCUAGCCAAUAUACUUUCUUAUAGAUAUAUAAUAAAAGGCUAAAUACUUGUUACUCCUUAUACUUUGCU